rnacentral:rRNA from 1 species
AACGAACGCUGGCGGCAGGCUUAACACAUGCAAGUCGAGCGCCCCGCAAGGGGAGCGGCAGACGGGUGAGUAACGCGUGGGAACGUACCCUUUACUACGGAAUAGCUCCGGGAAACUGGAAUUAAUACCGUAUGUGCCCUUCGGGGGAAAGAUUUAUCGGUAAAGGAUCGGCCCGCGUUGGAUUAGCUAGUUGGUGGGGUAAAGGCCUACCAAGGCGACGAUCCAUAGCUGGUCUGAGAGGAUGAUCAGCCACAUUGGGACUGAGACACGGCCCAAACUCCUACGGGAGGCAGCAGUGGGGAAUAUUGGACAAUGGGCGCAAGCCUGAUCCAGCCAUGCCGCGUGAGUGAUGAAGGCCUUAGGGUUGUAAAGCUCUUUCACCGGAGAAGAUAAUGACGGUAUCCGGAGAAGAAGCCCCGGCUAACUUCGUGCCAGCAGCCGCGGUAAUAC